AUUGAACGCUGGCGGCAUGCCUUACACAUGCAAGCCGAACGGCAGCACGGGUGCUUGCACCUGGUGGCGAGUGGCGAACGGGUGAGUAAUACAUCGGAACGUACCUUAUCGUGGGGGAUAACGCAGCGAAAGCUGUGCUAAUACCGCAUGCGCCCUGAGGGGGAAAGCGGGGGAUCGCAAGACCUCGCGCGAUUAGAGCGGCCGAUGCCUGAUUAGCUUGUUGGUGGGGUAAAAGCCCACCAAGGCGACGAUCAGUAGCUGGUCUGAGAGGACGAUCAGCCACACUGGGACUGAGACACGGCCCAGACUCCUACGGGAGGCAGCAGUGGGGAAUUUUGGACAAUGGGGGCAACCCUGAUCCAGCAAUGCCGCGUGAGUGAAGAAGGCCUUCGGGUUGUAAAGCUCUUUUGUCAGGAAAGAAACACCGGCUCUAACACAGUCCGGGAAUGACGGUACCUGAAGAAUAAGCACCGGCUAACUACGUGCCAGCCGCCGCAGUAA
rnacentral:rRNA from 1 species